AACGCGAAGAACCUUACCAGCCUUUGACAUCCCGGUCGCGAGUACCAGAGAUGGAACUCUUCAGUUCGGCUGGACCGGAGACAGGUGCUGCAUGGCUGUCGUCAGCUCGUGUCGUGAGAUGUUGGGUUAAGUCCCGCAACGAGCGCAACCCUCGCCCUUAGUUGCCAUCAUUCAGUUGGGCACUCUAAGGGGACUGCCGGUGAUAAGCCGCGAGGAAGGUGGGGAUGACGUCAAGUCCUCAUGGCCCUUACAGGCUGGGCUACACACGUGCUACAAUGGCGGUGACAGUGGGAUGCAAUGGAGUAAUCCUGCGCAAAUCUCAAAAAGCCGUCUCAGUUCGGAUUGUGCUCUGCAACUCGAGCACAUGAAGUUGGAAUCGCUAGUAAUCGCAGAUCAGCACGCUGCGGUGAAUACGUUCCCGGGCCUUGUA
rnacentral:rRNA from 1 species